UCANUUAGAGGAAGUAAAAGUCGUAACAAGGUUUCCGUAGGUGAACCUGCGGAAGGAUCAUUAGUGAAUAUAGGACGUCCAACUUAACUUGGAGUCCGAACUCUCACUUUCUAACCCUGUGCANUUGUUUGGGAUAGUAACUCUCGCAAGAGRGCGAACUCCUAUUCACUUAUAAACACAAAGUCUAUGAAUGUAUUAAAUUUUAUAACAAAAUAAAACUUUCAACAACGGAUCUCUUGGCUCUCGCAUCGAUGAAGAACGCAGCGAAAUGCGAUAAGUAAUGUGAAUUGCAGAAUUCAGUGAAUCAUCGAAUCUUUGAACGCACCUUGCGCUCCAUGGUAUUCCGUGGAGCAUGCCUGUUUGAGUGUCAUGAAUACUUCAACCCUCCUCUUUCUUAAUGAUUGAAGAGGUGUUUGGUUUCUGAGCGCUGCUGGCCUUUANGGUCUAGCUCGUUCGUAAUGCAUUAGCAUCCGCAAUCGAACUUCGGAUUGACUUGGCGUAAUAGACUAUUCGCUGAGGAAUUCUAGUCUUCGGACUAGAGCCGGGUUGGGUUAAAGGAAGCUUCUAAUCAGAAUGUCUACAUUUUAAGAUUAGAUCUCAAAUCA
rnacentral:rRNA from 1 species